UCCCUGGUGGUCUAGCGGUUAAGGAUCUGGUGCUCUCACCACCAUGGCCAGGGUCCGACUCCUGGGCAGGGAA